rnacentral:rRNA from 1 species
GACGUAGGGCGCGAGCGUUGUCCGGAUUUAUUGGGCGUAAAGAGCUCGUAGGCGGCUUGUCGCGUCGACUGUGAAAACCCAUGGCUCAACCAUGGGCUUGCAGUCGAUACGGGCGGGCUAGAGUUCGGUAGGGGAGACUGGAAUUCCUGGUGUAGCGGUGGAAUGCGCAGAUAUCAGGAGGAACACCGGUGGCGAAGGCGGGUCUCUGGGCCGAUACUGACGCUGAGGAGCGAAAGCGUGGGGAGCGAACAGG